AACGCGGACCAGGCCAGUGGCUUUUGUGAAUAAAGUGGAACGAGUUGGAAAACUCGACCGAAGUGGGUGAUAGUCCCGUACACGUAGAAUAGCAGAAGUCCUUGAGUAGGGCGGGACACGUGAAAUCCUGUCUGAACAUGGGUCGACCACGAUCCARGC
rnacentral:rRNA from 1 species